rnacentral:rRNA from 1 species
UACGGUAGGGGCAAGCGUUGUCCGGAUUUACUGGGCGUAAAGGGCUCGUAGGCGGCCAACUAAGUCGGACGUGAAAUCCCCAGGCUCAACCUGGGAACUGCGUCCGAUACUGGAUGGCUUGAAUUCGGGAGAGGGAUGCAGAAUUCCAGGUGGAGUAGCGGUGAAAUGCGUAGAUAUCGUAAGGAAGACCAGUGGCGAAGGCGGGUCUCUGGACAGUUCCUGACGCUGAGGCACGAAGGCCAGGGGAGCAAACGG